GCACAUUUCCCAGUACACAAACUGGCAGUCACACAGCCAACCAGUGGCUUCACUGGAAAACCCAGCAUCAGACCGAUUGCUACAUGAGACCUAAGUGAACCAGCAGGCAGGUCUAAAUCUUCUCCCAGCAGAAGGGCCGGACUCACCCAGCAGAGGGACCACGGGGGGGAAAUAAGCUACUGGGCCCCCCGAUAACUCCCCCAGUCCUCCCACUACAGACUGUGUGGCGUCACCAGGAGGAGAUCUGUUAUUAUUCUACAUACGAGAAUGAACCCGGUUUAACUUGUGAACAAACGUCAGCUUCAAUGAAACAACGCGGUAGGUUAAAGGUGAGAUUCUGUAUUUUCACAGCUGGACUCUUUAUUUACAUGUUUGGAUGUGUAAAUGAUUCGCGGAGAGGUUUUCCUACGAUGAGCCUUUUUCUUUAAGAGGUGUAAUAAGUGAGAAUUUGCCAUCUUUCCGAACAAGUAAGAGGCAGAACGUCACCAGCUAAUUUGUGCUAAAUGCGGCUGCUGUUAGCACGUUAGCUCAGUAAACCGUACAGCUGACAUUAGCUGAAGAUAGGCGCUAACUGGUUAGCAUGCUAACUUCAAAAGACUUCUCAGCAACACACAGCUUUGACAUGACAACAACACUGUCAGGCAAUUUUCCUUUACAAGUUUAAAUUUGUAUAUUUCACAUCUUUAACCAGAAGCAGCAGCUGUGAUACUUUUCUCCUCCUCACCACCAGACUCCAUUUACAAAAACAGUAAUUUUACCUCACAGAUCAUCAUCAACACUUAAAUCGUCUUUUUUUUUUCACUCUUCCAGCAAUCCAUCAACUCUGCUGUCUGUAAACAUGAUGGAAACUGUUCAUACUGAAUGACAGUUUUUGUUUAAUAAUAUCAUUUUUGUCUCAUUCAAUGAGGAAUCUCGUGAGAGGUUAAGUUAUUAUAGCCAUUGUCUCAUCUAGAGGAUUAAAAAUCAGUUAUAAAAAUCAGCCAUGACUCUAAAAAAUUUAAUUCCCGCUGUCAAGCUCCCCGAGGUAAACUCCUCUCUACAACUCUGACUCACUUUUCCAACAUUGUCUCCCUGCAACAACUCACAUCUCACAAGAUUUCUUUUGUUUCUGGUUACAAAAAGGUUCCUUAUACUUAACAAAACGUUCUCCCUCUGUAGGAAUUGUUUCCAUAAUGUUGCCAGACAGCAGAGUUGGAGAUUGUUGGCGCAGUAAAAAUGGUUUUUCGUGUCGGAUGAGCCGUGUGGUAAAAUUACUGUUUUUAUCAAUGGAGUCUGGUGGUAACGAGGAGAGCGAUCCAGCGUCUGUUUGUAGUUAAACAAGAAGGUUUAAGUAACUUCAACACUGCAGCUGCCAGCUGACGGAGGCGAUCAUCUGAUACGAUGCCCAAACAUUUGCUAAGUGAGAAUCAUUUACACACUGACACACGUACAUCUAGAGCCCAGCUCUGACACAAAUACCAGAACUUCUCUGAAUAUAAUUGUUUGUCAUUUUGCUAACAAGCUGGCCGGCCUCUCACCUCCUCCAGGGUUAGCUGUGUGGUCAUUUUGGUAAAGCACAAAUAAAUCUUGCAACAUGCAACACGUGAGCACAAAACCGAAAUGACGAAGGUCUUUUUUUGGAUCCUCUUCAAGACCUCGGAAUAGAAAAUAAACCUCAACGCCCGUCACAGUUGGGCGUUAUCGGUGCAUAUACCGAGUCGUUUUUUUCAAAA